rnacentral:tRNA from 1 species
CGGGGUGUAGCUCAGUGGCCAGAGCGCGGCGUUUGGGUCGCCGAAGUCGCGGGUUCGACUCCCGCCAUCCCGA